AUGCGACGAUCCACUUGGUAAAUUUGAUUAAACACUCCAAUGUCUUUGUUGCCUUAGCAUCUUGACUUUUUUGGUUUAGUCUGAUAAUUUGCAUUAUAAAAGUUUGAUCAUGACUUUCCCAUCUCUUAUCCCAUACCCUUUGGAAUAGUAAAAAAAGGAAAUCAAUAAGCUUCCUCUAGGUAAUUCUUUAUAAUUAAUUCCUGCAGUACUAUCAACUACGGGAAUGAA
rnacentral:misc_RNA from 1 species